GAUACACAGAGGCAGGAGGAGAA
rnacentral:miRNA from 1 species